CGCCUGGGGAGUACGGCCGCAAGGUUAAAACUCAAAUGAAUUGACGGGGGCCCGCACAAGCGGUGGAGCAUGUGGUUUAAUUCGACGCAACGCGAAGAACCUUACCUGGCCUUGACAUGCAGAGAACUUUCCAGAGAUGGAUUGGUGCCUUCGGGAACUCUGACACAGGUGCUGCAUGGCCGUCGUCAGCUCGUGUCGUGAGAUGUUGGGUUAAGUCCCGUAACGAGCGCAACCCCUAUCCCUAGUUGCUAGCAGUUCGGCUGAGAACUCUAGGGAGACUGCCGGUGACAAACCGGAGGAAGGUGGGGAUGACGUCAGGUCAUCAUGGCCCUUACGGCCAGGGCUACACACGUGCUACAAUGGUGCGUACAGAGGGCUGCAAACCCGCGAGGGGGAGCUAAUCUCACAAAACGCAUCGUAGUCCGGAUCGGAGUCUGCAACUCGACUCCGUGAAGUCGGAAUCGCUAGUAAUCGCGAAUCAGAAUGUCGCGGUGAAUACGUUCCCGGGCCUUGUACACACCGCCCGUCACACCAUGGGAGUGGAUUGCACCAGAAGUGGUUAGUCUAACCUUCGGGAGGACGAUCACCACGGUGUGGUUCAUGACUGGGGUGAAGUCGUAACAAGGUAACCGUA
rnacentral:rRNA from 1 species